rnacentral:rRNA from 1 species
AGUAAAUAGAUACCCAGGUAGUCCACGCCGUAAACGAUGAGUACUAGGUGUAGGAGGUAUCGACUCCUUCUGUGCCGCAGUUAAACACAAUAAGUACUCCGCCUGGGAAGUACGGUCGCAAGAUUAAAACUCAAAGGAAUUGACGGGGGCCCGCACAAGCAGCGGAGCAUGUGGUUUAAUUCGAAGCAACGCGAAGAACCUUACCUAGACUUGACAUCUCCUGAAUAGUGUAGAGAUACAUGAAGCCCUUCGGGGCAGGAAGACAGGUGGUGCAUGGUUGUCGUCAGCUCGUGUCGUGAGAUGUUGGGUUAAG